GGUAGAGUGGCUGCUAGCCGCCCCGAGCAUGCGCACUACCCGCACUAGCAGGUAGUGUGGGCUGAGAGCUGCCCUGCGCAUGCGCUCUCUAGCACUGCCGCGCCGCGUCUCUCUAUCUUAGCAACGCCGCACCGCGCAUCACCGUUCCACUCACACAUACACACACACGCACAAGCACGCACGUCCGGACGUAACAGACACACUACACUGCAAUCGGGACACACACCACACACUGAAAUCGCGAUUUCGCCCUCCCCGAGCCGCGCUAUCAGCUGGGGAGGUCCUCCCGCCGCCGGCCUCUCCCCCGAUGGCGGUCUGCUUGCAAGCCCCUAGGCAAACCUGCGCGCAAAAACAUCUUUUUGCGACUUAUCAGUGCCAACCUUAAGAAAAUAAAUUAAUACAUACCGCUUUCAUCCGCUAGUCGACGGGCCGUGGUAUGCUCCUCGCAGUGUACAGCCGAGGCGCAGAGUCCCUCCGGGGAAAAGCCCCGUGGCGCCUGAGGGUGUCUGCUCCCAACCGGACCUGCGGGUGAGCAGAGCAGUCCCUUCGUGGUCGCCAACUGAAACGAUACGCGGAAUAAAUCAAUAGACUCCAUAACCUGGGGUAGUUAUGAAGUGGACGUUCCAUAUGCAAUACACUGCACGACUUUUUCAUGCGUAUUCAACCCCUGGCCCCGCCUGUCCUCGCUUCUCAUGCUAAGUAAGUCCACGCCCUUCUGGGCAUGCGUGGUUUGCUGUGGUGGUCGUACGGGGGUCUCUUGGUGGUCCUGAGGCUG